UAUUGAUUGAGGCGUCGUGUCGAAUUGCCUGAUGCCGACACUCGUCCUCGUGGCGAACUAAAUAGUACGCUAACGUACACGGACACGUCUAAAAGAUUCCGUCUCUGCCUUCGUUUCACUAGUUUUGUCUGUGUUUUCUUUGAGGAGUCAUUUGAAACGCGGUUCGUUGAGUGCGAGAAACGAACACUUUCUUUCCCCCUUUUGCGAGUAAGACCUGCAGGAUUCGAUUGCCCUGACUACGAGAAAUGGUACAGACGACCAAACACAAACGGAGGACUUUAUGAUUCAGCUGAGGCUUCUGAGGAUGGAGUUCGUUAUCGCCAGCGACUGGAGUUGAAGGAUAUGAAUGAGGACCACAUCAUUUAAUUUACAGGUAACCACGCUUGUCGUGCUGGCAUUAAUACCAUGGCCUGGCCCUACUGUGUUUAAGAUAUCAUGUCCACGCGAUCACGCAUCUGUUGUGCGGAAGGUUGUUCAAAAGAAAUGGAUACCAGUGCUGGAGAAGUAUCAAGUCUCAAUUCCUCUCGAGUGUCCCUUUCAUCCUGUGAGAGACAUAUAUUGGCCUCAACAGUCUGCCAAACAGCAACAUCGGUCUUCUCAGUGGACAUGUGGAAUAUGUGGGAAAUCAUUUUAUGAAGAACGUUUUCUAGACAAGCAUUUUGACAAUAGGCACAAAAACCAAAUUAAUAUGGCUGAAGAUGCAGUAUGCCUAGCUGAUUAUUGUGACAUCAUGCGAUGUGAGGUACUAAUGACACAAGAAGUUGGAAGUGGUGAAUCAGGAGAAUCCAGUCAGGGAAACACUGACAUUGAAGUGUGGAGUGAGUCAACAGCUUAUCGCACUGCACUGUCACCUUCGGGACCUCGAGACCUUGCUCGUGUGCUGUUUAGGAGAGGACCAUAUACUGAACAUGACAGACAGCCACAGGAAGCACAAGGGUCCACACCAAAAACACAACCCAGUGAGAAUCACUGCCCUCGCACUUCGCAACCACCAACUUCAGAACAGCAUCAGCAGCCUCAAGCGACUUCUGACACUGACACAAAUACUUCUGCACCGGAUACCUGUGACAGCGGAAACCUUGUUGACUCAUCAGUGCCUCCAGGAGAUCGUAAGCAACAAAGACUGAGUGAGCUGCAGAGACUCAAAGCCAACUGCAAACCAGAAGAACUUCAAGGCCUUAAACUUCGGUGUGAGAUUCUUGUGAGAGAUUGCAUAGCAGGUUUAUUAGUAAACUUGUCCAUCCAAAAUUUUAAGGAAGUUGAAGAGGAGUUGAAUCGUGCUGUGUGUUGGUACCUCACUUGUGACCGCUACUGGGAAGAUUCUCCCAAUGAUUCUAGACAUUUUCCUUGGGGCCUUGUCUUUGUGUUGGUCAUGGUGCUUUCUCUUGGUAUCUGCCUCUGCUACUACAUAAUAUGGGUUCUGUUUGAUUCUGAUGACCAAAGUGUUGCCAGCACAAGUGCCACUGCAACGGCUACUUCGUCUCCAGUGCAUCAUGCAAAUUCAACUAAUAGGCCUUUAUACUCAGAGGAAUAUUACACAGUUCCAGAAAUAAAUGAUAUGGGACAAAAUGAACAUUAUAUUUAUGUAACAUAUCCACCAGAACUAAAAAGGAGAUUGUUAGAAAGGUGUUGAUUGUGGAAGAACCUUGACCAAGCACUUAACCCACCGUCUUUAUCAUUUGAUGGCUGUGUGGAGUUAAUAAGCUACUCUUCUCUAUGAAGUUCCUGUGGCAGCUGCUACAAUAGAACCACAAGACUGUGAGUGGCAAGUGGUCAAGAGUGGAUUCGAGUAAGUGGACUAGUUUGUUGGUCCUACUUUGGAUACAAAAUAACAAUGGUUAUGGUUUCAGUUUAGUAUACAUUCUCAAAGAGAGAACAAACAUUUUUUAAAUUUUUCUGUAGAGUCUUUUAUUGGUAAUUUGUUCUUCAUUUGACUUGUGCCAUAUAUGUUACAGAUUGUUUUAGCACUAAAUGAAGAGGGGCAUCCAUAAAUGUAUUACAGAUUAUUGUACUAUCACACUGCAGCUCAAUAAAUGAACAAAGAAGUUCAACAUGCUAAGUGUAAAAUUCAAUAAUUAAUGCUGUAUAGCUUUAGAGUGAAAAUUAAUCUGGAAUAUUGAGGGUUAUAAAACUGUUCACAUUUCCAUAGUCCUUUGCUAGAAAGAAGUAUGGCUCUAUCCGAGAAAGUAAAAUCAUUAUAAAAGCAGUCAUUCACAACAUAAUAUACCAGUUUUCUCUAAGUAUACAUGAUUUAAAGUAUGAACAUCAUUGUGUGGACACAAAUAGAGGACUGUGUUGUAUUUAUGCACAAAGGAUUUUUUUCUGAGACAUGUCUCUGCUAUUUAAGCCUUGUGGGGACCAGUACCAUUGAUUUAAUGGGCAUGCUGUUUGCAGUGUGAUACCAUUACUACAAAUCAGGAUUUUGUGGUAUCACAAUAAUGUUCAUUUUUACAUUUAUAGUUUAGUCUAAAGCACUUGCUCCUUAUAUAGUAACAGUCCCUCAUGACUACCCAAAAUUCAGGAUGAAUUUGUAGGAGCAAUGUCAAAGAUCUCUUAACAGAUACUUCUUGUUAAAGAAAAGAAUUUGUGGAGAAAUUCUCUUCUAAAUUAAAAUGACAAAUAUUUGAUUUCUCUCAAAUUAAAAAAUGGAUGUUAUAAAUAACACAUGACAAGAAUAAAGGUGGAGAAAGGAACAUCGACCAUCUAAAACAUGGACUUCGUCACUACUACAUUUCUACGUGCAAAGUCAUGAUAGAUACUGGCAAUCCAUUAAACAAUCAUAUAGCGCAGAAUGGCACAAUCAUAGUUUCAAUUUAUCAAUUCUAUGUAGUAGCUCUGUGCUACGAACACAUACAUAGGAAUGUAAUUUUGAACUUGUGUACAUGAAUAAUAUUAUGUGAGAAAUAGCCAUACUUACUCUCAGUGAUAAAUUAUAAAGAGAAAACAGGAGUACAAGAAAUUGUACAACAUUAUACUCUAGAAUCUAUGAGCAUUUUUUCUGGACUGAUGAAAAAAUAAUAACUUUCAUGUUUCAGAUUGCCAUAAAGUUCUGAUCCAUUGACCACUCAUGAAUCAAAACUACCCUAUUCAUUAGCUUUCCCUGGCUCUAUAUUAACUGGCAAAACAUAAAAUAUUAAGAUUUCAACCAACAAUCAAAACAAAUGUUUAAUUUACAUGUUUAAGUGAAAUCUCUAUCUGAAAAUCCUGCAUUGUAAUCAUUUUGUAACAGGGGAGAUUCACAGAAAAUGCAUAUAAUCAACAAGAGAUCCAAACAGUGAAAGGCUAUUAAAAUAAUAAUUUGAUGUGAUCUUGUGUAAGAGGCCUGGUCAAUACCCUAUUUUGCUAUGCAAAAAAAGCUACAAGCUGAUGUAAUCUCAGGCAAAAAGCCUAUAUCGGUAGCAUAAAUGUAAUGCAGCUGUAAAGACAUUAUUGGAAGUAAGUACUGUCUCUUUAGAAAAAUCUCUCAGACAAUCAUUUUGCAACCUUCCCUUCUAGAGCAAAUGUUUUGGGCUUAGCGGACAAUGAUUGUUUCUUAAUCUCGCUCCCUCUCCACAUAUUAUUUGCCUCAUUUUACAACUUACAUUUCAUAAACAGGGUGUUAUUUGUUGCAUGUACAUCCCUAAUAUUUAGAAAAGAGUUCAACAAGGAAUUUCACAAAUGAUAAUAUAUAUAGUAGAAAAUAUUCUAAUUCCCAUUAGUAUUUCUGACUUAUUCCUGUUGAAAUAUUAAAAGAACAACAUUUUUUAAAGAUAUGGAUUCACAUGAAAAAAGGUACAUCAUGUCAUGUCAUUGGACAAAUUCGUGGGCAUCCAAGUUUACUGGUAGCUAAAAAUUAAACAAUCACAAGUAUACGGAACAACACUCAUCCCCUUGCAUACCAUCAUACACUCAAACCCGUAUUUUGAUAGCUAAAAUCAUUUAUGAAUUAUUAGUAGUGUCCACAUGAUGCAGUACAUGCUAUGGAUUACAAACACUAACUUCAUAUCAUAUUCAGAAGGGUGAGAAGCAAAAGAUGCACAAAAACUUAUUGUUUUGGUUAAAUUUUGAGUUUUCAAAAUUGAAAAUCCAUCCAGUUGAAGUUAAAUGUGUUUCCUUUCCAUGCAUGGAGUUCUGGUUGUGAACACUUUGUAUUCUGUUUGUUAACAAUAAUAUAUUCUUGCAGGCAGUACCACAAACACUUUAAAUUCAUUUACUGGGAAGUAUUUUUUUUCCACCAGCGUAUAAUUAGCACUCCAUGUUUUCAACCUACAUACUGUGUGUGUAAAUACACUGACCUCCAUGAUUUUUCAUCUUUAUCUUCAUCUGUUCUCAUUUUCUCAGUUUUCAUUUCCUUGCAUUUCUCAUCAUCCAUCAAAACUCUUCUUUGACUGUUUAGAUUUUAAAUUUACAGUCUUUCCUCUUCAUAAGCUGUUACUCAUUUUGUUUCCUAAAUGCAUUAUUAAUUUAUUUGACAUUUGAAUCAUACCUGUCCAUACUGAUUUUCUAUGUAACUAGUUUGUAAUGAUUGUUCUUCUGUUUAUCAUUUACUCUAACAUUUUCUGCAAUUCUUCAUUCCUGUAACACAGAAUGUUUGCUCUGGAGCAUUGAAAAUCUGUAUUAGUUUGAAGGACUUACUCUUCACUUUGUGUAAACAUGGUGUAUUUUAAUCAGUUGUUAUUAAUGCCUCAGUUUUGUAUUUGUAUUUCCUGUCAACUUACACAGUUGUAAUAAAAUCAUGUGUUCACAGAUCAAUUAGACACAAUGCUGAACAGCUCACAAACAAAUUUUACAUGUUUUACUGUUGUCUAGGAGAGAAGAAUUAUUACAUUUAUAUUUCUGGUUUCAGUAAUGUCUGUGUGUUCUGUAACUGCACAUUACUUAAGCUGUUACAUUCUGAUGCAAAAGAGAGAAUUUCACGAAAAAAUUUAGUUUAGAAUAUGUUAUAAUCCAAAUUGGCGUUAUGCUGCAUUAUGCUAACAUUUGAGAGAUAUUUAAAAUAAUUACAGAAUUAUAAGAAACUCUCUAUUUCUUUCUUUAAGAAAUUGAAAGCUGAGCAAAUUUAUAGACUGUUUCAAUCUUUGCUGUAGAAAUGAGUCAAUAUAAUUUAUGAGUGUUCAGUUAACAAUUCUGCAUAUGAAGAAGUGCUGUAGGACUUAUCAUUCACAUAAUUCUAGUACUGCCAUUAUUAAACAUAGAACACUGACUAAAAAAGACUUAAAAUUACAAACUUUCUGCUGAAUUCCUAAGCAUAAUUAUAAAAAAAGAUGAAAACAGUAGGCACAAAUACUAGUGAACUAGUGUCAGACUGAUGAUUCCCAAAUACACAGGAAUUUGUUAUCUUUCCCAAAAAUGACUGGAUCUAGUUAGUGCAAAAUUAUGGAAUACAAUUGUUGAUAUAGAGGCAAUUUAUAGACAAGAUAACAGUGGGUGAUAAACAAUGUAGUUGCUCUUCUGUUCGAACUGUGCUACAUUGUAAAUUACAACCCUGACAUAUCGAGAAAAUUUAAAAUCCUGUACUCAUGCUUGAAUAUGAGUAUAGGUGUACUGUUAAAACAAAUGAAUUUGUAUUGGAGUCAAGUCUUCCUCUGCAUUACUUGAGCAGCAGGCAUAGACAGCUUAAGGAAUAUUUUAUUUCAACAUACACGAAUGGUUUCUUCUGCAAAUGAUUUUGCAUCGAACUGAGCUUCCUUUUUAAUUACUAAUUUGUUCUGCUAUGUUAAAUACUAAUUAGAUUUACAAGGCAAUAUCCUCUUCUUUGAACAUUUUGUUUUUUUAAUUUAAUCAUUAAUUUUCACACCUGUCACAUGCUUUCUACAGUGAAAGGAGCAGUUUCACUUACACCAAUACUAAUAAUUCAGAUUGUGUGUGUAUUUUGCACAUAUAUAUGUAAGCACACUUUUAUCUGACUAACACUCUGGGAAAACUGUCACUUGUUUUGUGCAGUUAUAUUGAAUUACAGUUGUGAUGAAGAAAACUGAUAAAAAUAUGAUCAUUUUUUGUGUACAAUGCAAUAAAAUUGUUGAUACAUUUGCUAGAUAAGUUUGAAUAACA